rnacentral:tRNA from 1 species
GCGUCCGUAGUCUAGUCUGGUUAGGACCUUGGCCUUCCAAGCCAAUGACCCGGGUUCAAAUCCCGGCGGGCGCA